rnacentral:lncRNA from 1 species
UAAGAUGUAACUGUUUUAAAAGCUGAUAAGUUUGAGCAGGAGGAAAAGAAAAUAUGCGUGUCUGUAUUUUUCUUUAAUGUUUUUAUCAAAAUCUUAUUAUGGGAAUAUCCCAUGAUUGGAACUUUCUAACCAACAACCUAACAAAAUUUUUCUUAAAUGCCUAAUAGCUUGUUUCUGGUCUCAAAAAAAUGAGUGCUAAAGACAAAAUAUAUUGAUUUAGGAUUAUGUCUCAUUGACUGUUAUUGGGUAAUUGUUGUGGGUAUGUUGUUGGUUUUUUUUUUUAUUUUUUAACAUGUAAAAACAAGUUGACUUAUUAACAUGUGAAAAAGUUAGAAAACAUGUUUUCUUUGCUGAUGAAAAGGGCUUAAGCAUCUGACAUCUCAAAUUUUGGGGGGUAUUAUUAAGAAAUGAAAUGUAAUAAAAGGCAAUUGGAGUCACAUGGAACUAUUUCCUUAUUAAAAGAGAUAGGUUAUGUGAACUUCACAAGGAGCAUGAAGUUAUUUAAUUGCUUUAGUGAUUGAUGAAAUAAUCUACAACACUAUCAGAAGAGGCAGGUCCAUUGGAAUCCUGCUCUAAGUGUGGAGUGGAGACUACUCAAAGAGGAAGCAGAGGCUGGGCUAUCAGUUUCUUUAUCUGAAAAAUUACAAAAGGGUCAUGUUUUGACCUGCUGUAUAUUGAAAUCUAUGCAAUAUCAACCACAUAAUAAAGACAUUCUACUUUAGA